rnacentral:tRNA from 2 species
CCGCCGUCAUGGCCGGGCUGGGGGUCGCCGCGCUCGCCCCGCGCAUGGUGCCGUUCGGCGCGGUCGACGUCGGCCC